rnacentral:rRNA from 1 species
CCUACGGGAGGCAGCAGUAGGGAAUCUUCCACAAUGGGCGAAAGCCUGAUGGAGCAACGCCGCGUGGGUGAAGAAGGUCUUCGGAUCGUAAAACCCUGUUGUUAGAGAAGAAAGUGCGUGAGAGUAACUGUUCACGUUUCGACGGUAUCUAACCAGACAGCCACGGCUAACUACGUGCCAGCAGCCGCGGUAAUACGUAGGUGGCAAGCGUUAUCCGGAUUUAUUGGGCGUAAAGGGAACGCAGGCGGUCUUUUAAGUCUGAUGUGAAAGGCUUCGGCUUAACCGGAGUAGUGCAUUGGAAACUGGAAGACUUGAGUGCAGAAGAGGAGAGUGGAAUGCCAUGGGUAGCGGUGAAAUGCGUAGAUAUAUGGAAGAACACCAGUGGCGAAAGCGGCUCUCUGGUCUGUAACUGACGCUGAGGUUCGAAAGCGUGGGUAGCAAACAGGAUUAGAUGCCCGUGUAGUC